GGCAGGAGCGGCCCGCGAGCUGAGCCCGGCAGAGCGGACGUAGGAGGCGGCUCGCGUCCACCGGCAGCCGCCGCCAUGGUGCCUGGCCAGCUGCGCCUCGCCGCGGCCGCACGUGGCCAAGGCGGCUAUGAUUCUGAUUUUAGUGACGAGGAGAAUGGAGAGAAGUCUGUGCAAAAGACUAAAAGUACAAAGGAAGAUAGCCUUCUGGUAAAGCCAUUCCAAAAACCAAAACAGGUCAAGGUUGCUCACAGACAAUUUGCUGCUGAAGAAUGGGACAGAGAAGAAGCAAGGAAGAGAAGAUUUCACCUGAUAUCGAUGGAUGCAUAUUCGAGACAUAGAAAGUUAGUGAAUGACUACAUUUUGUACUAUGGUGGGAAAAUGGAGGAUUUCCGACGUUCUGGUGAGAAUGACAAGACGGAUCUCGAUGUUAUAAGAGAAAACCAUAGAUUCCUGUGGAGAGAAGAUGAUGAAGCAGACAUGAAUUGGGAGAAGAGGCUUGCAAAGAAGUAUUAUGAUAAAUUAUUCAAAGAAUACUGUAUAGCAGAUCUCAGUAGAUACAAGGAGAAUAAGUUUGGAUUUAGAUGGAGACAUGAGAAGGAAGUAAUUUCAGGAAAAGGUCAGUUUUCUUGUGGAAAUAAGCACUGUGAUGGUGAAGAAGGCCUGAAGAGCUGGGAGGUGAAUUUUGGUUAUGUUGAACAUGGUGAAAAGAGGAAUGCACUUGUGAAAUUGAGACUAUGUCCAGAAUGUUCUUACAAACUAAACUUUCAUCACAGGAGGAAAGAAGUCAAAGCAAGCAAGAAAAGAGGCACAGCUGUAGGGAACUCUAAACAACCAAAAAUUAAGAAGGCAAAACUGUCUCAUUCAGGAAAAAAGAAGUCAAAAAAAAAGACACAUGGAGAUCAGGUUUCUUCAGAAGAUUCAGAUACUUCAGAUAAAGAUUCAGAUAACAGUGAUGUACAAGAUGGUCCUUCAGAUGCUGAUUUUUGGAAAGGCCCUCUACAAGAACCAGAUGAAAAAUCACGAGAGGAAGAGUUCGAUGAAUAUUUUCAAGACUUGUUUCUCUGAAACUUGAAACUGAUGUGGGUUGAUUUUUGUUGUUGUUGUUGUGAGUUGUCAAGAUGAAUGUCUGGAAAUUCAGUUGUAAGUAGGGACCAGAGACCUCUUCCUGACAGCAUGCCUUUUCUGCAGUCACUCCAUAUGGACCAUCUGGGUGAAUUAUCUUUGCAGAAGGCUUCAGGGCUGAAAGCUUUCUUUUUUUUUCUUUUUCUUUUCUUUUUUUUUUUUUUUUUUGUGGUAGGCUUGUAUACUCAUGCAAUACGAGAAAUGUACUUGAGAAAUACAAGCUAAAGUUACGUGACAUGCUAACAUAAACGGAGGAAGAAUGCAGAAAAAUGAGAACGUAGUUUAUUCUCAGUGCACCACAGAAGAUGGCUGUUCUUUAUUCUAUCCCAAACUUCAGUUACUGCCAGAUUUUUAAAAAUUAAUUCCAACAAAUGGCAAGUGUUUAAGAGGAUUGUUAAGAGAUUGAUCUAGACUAUUCUAUGCGAAGCAGAAAUCCACUGGGCUCCUUGAAGUUCUUUCUAGAUGUCUUUUCUGUAGCAGAAACAGUGUCUUUGAGACAAAGAAUUACAAAACUAUACAUGUUUUGGAUUUUCCAUCCUCUCCACCUCCACCACCUCCAGCUGCAUUUUCAGCUAAAAAACAGAGAAGAAAAGUAAAGUGAGUACUUUCUGUUACUUUCAGUUGCUUUAAUUUCUUGUUUUAAAAGCAUUGCUUUUGUGAUAAGGAUAUUAUGUGUGUUUGACUUUCUGAAAAUGGAACAUGUUUUCACUACUUGUUUGGGAAAAUGGAGUAUGCAACAACUACACAUGCAUGUUAUAUAUACCUAUACAAAUAUGAUGUAGCAAUUGAUAGCAACAUUUCUCCAUGGACCAAACACACUGAACCACUCUUACUGGAAAGUUUCAGUACUUUAUGUAAAGUCUGUCCCACACAUACAAAACUGAGGUAUGCAAGCCAUGCUAAAGAAAAAAAACUCUUGAAUUAAUAUCAUCUUGGAAACUAUUUUUGAAGGAAAUGAUACAAUUGCUUUAAUUUGACCUAGUUGUAUAAACUCUCAUCCAACCCUGCAUGAAUCCCUUGGUAACAACCAAUUAAGACCGAGAGACUGUUUUUUAAUACUUUAUAGCUACUGAUUCUGUUAAUGUCUCUCUCAAAUGAUUCCACAGAUGUUUAUUGGUCAUAGUUAAGGUUGUUUCAAUGUAAUAAAUUGCGUUUCCAGAUUCAUUUAAGGUAAGAUACCAAUAUUAGAAUUAAAACUUACAUUUGAAAGCUGUGGAUCACCAUGUUACUUAGGUCAUUUUCGACCCUUUCCACCUGCAUUGAAACAUGUCACAUAAUCAGUGUCCUACCCUCUGUAAUUUGUGGAUAUAAUCAACACUAUGUUACUAAAUAUGUAUUUCAUUUUCAUAGUUCAAUACUGUAUUUUGCUUUCUGUUCUGAACUUUCCACUGUAGUGGUUCAGCAAAUAUGUUUAUUUUGUUUUCUGCCUACUGAAUGGCUCAGAAUAGCCAGGUCAAUGUGAUCUAGAGAUGACCGUGGUUCAGCAUGCAUCAUAUUACUGUUUGUAUGAACUGACUCUUUAACAAAGGCAUAUAUUUACAUGGCCUUGAUUUUGACAGUGUCAGAUCUGUUCUUCACAAAUAUGCAUGGUCUCAUUCCAGUGCACAUUUAAAAAGAGACAAAGUAAUUCACUUACACUUUUUUGAUGCCAAUUAUGAUAAGCAAAGAAGUCCAGAUCCUUAGCUCCUGUAAAUCACUCUGUCCAUGUUAGCCUAUGUGAGGUGACUUGUGGGAAAAUACUUAUUUCUCUAAAUCAGUGAUGUAAAGGACUCCAGAAUACCAAUGAUGUGAGAUAGUCUUAACUUCAAGUGGUAGUAGUGGGAGUAUCAGUCCUAAAUUUGUAAAUCAUUAUUUUAUUUUUAGCUCAGAAGAACCUUAUGCUUAAGUGCAUAGGAUAAGAUUUUUAUAACUAUUCCCUUUGCCAAAAAUGCAAAUAUGUAAGGAGGUUCCUGUGCAGGUCCUGGGGUGGUUUAGGUUUUGUUGGCACUUCUGCAAAACUCAGAUGCUUACGUUCCAGUGUUCUUAUUCAGAACCAGCUACUUCUUGAGCAAAUGAUGAGAUUUAUUGGCCAAAAAAAAAAAAAAAAAAAAAAAAGUGCAUUUUAAAAUAAAUGUGGGGGAAAAUGUGGUGGGCCCAAUUCCUAUGAAACUGUAAGUAGUGCAACAGUGUUUGUUUGAAUUUUAGCCUACUAGCACUUACUGCAUGAGCUAAUUAUUUUCCAGUUAUACUUCAAAUUCUGACAGCAACUUGAUACGUAGCCUUGAAUAACCUCUCUUUUAAUGUGAAAUCUGGAGAAUACUCACCUAUUUCCCACAGACACUGAUUAACAAAUAAAUUAUUGUGUACUCUUUUAUGUUUUAAAGAUGCAAAAUACAUGAUUAGAAUAAACUUUUCUUUAAACUAGCUGACAAUAAAUCAUUCUCUAAAAAUCACGUCUUUCACUUCAGCUGAUCAGCAGAGCUGAUGUUUCAAAUGCAAUACAGAAUAAAAAAUGUAACUAAUUUCACUCUUACAUUUGAGUUACACUUGAGGUUUUCAGUUUAUAUAAAACUCAGAUUGUCAUUUUGUUCAUCAUAUGCAAAACCAUACGUUCAAUUUUAGGUCUUAGAAAGAUUAGUGUUAGAUUUGUACUAUGAGAGAACAUAUUUUGGCCAAGAAACUGAUGGUAGGAAACUAAAGCCAAAAGCUUUAUCUCAAAUUUGGAAGAGAAGUGGGGCUUUUGUUGUUCCAAAUGCACACUCCAUUCUCAUCUCCUCCUUAUAUUUUUAUUUUCAGCUUAAACAAAACACUGGAAUACAUUUGAGGCUGAUACCAUGCAGAAUUUUGAUACAACUCGUAUUUCAGAUGAUAGUAGCAUUCACAGAUUAAUAGAGUUGGUUAAUUAUGUUCAGUUUUAUGUCUUAAGACAAAAUAAAUUUUACAUUCACUUCACUUCUGUGAUGGUCAUGUUUUCUGUAAUUGUUCAGCUAAGAAAAUAAGUCAGUGUUUUGGAUUUGUGUAAUUUUGAAAGGUUACUCCUCUUCCAAAUAAAGACAAAGCUAAUUCGGCUAAUUCAUAACUCAGAUACUGUUAGUGUAAAGAAUAUUGUAAAGUUUACCAUGUGUGUGAAUUACAGAGAGAAGAACUGCCAAUAUGAAUAUAUGAAUGAAAAAAUUAGAAGUUAUUUAACCUUUUUUGGCAGCUGCUUCUUCUUCCUUUUUCUUUUGUUCCUCAAUAACUUUCAUCUUCUCUUCGUAUUCAUCAGCUCUUGUUUUCCAUUCAACCCUGUUGUUUUGAAGACCAUCGAACAUGGGUGUAAUUUCCUUGUGAAAUCUUGAGAAUUCCUAUGCAAGCAAUUGAAUUUAAUGAAUUAGAAAUAUGACAACUUUACCAUACUUUGUAAAGUAUGGAUUUCUGGAAAUGCUGCUUUGCGGAGAAAGCAUUUGCUUUAAUUUUUCUAUUAAAAGUUCUAUUAAAAAUUCUAUUAUUUCUGUUUGUGUGCUGGAUGAAUUAAUUUUAAUUGAUAGUUUGUGGUUUUGACUUGUUUGUUUGUUUGUUUGUUUUGCAACUACUUGUUCCAUUUCUGUUAGCUGGUUUUCUAUAGAAUUGAAAAGAAGUUUUAAAAUAAUGCCACUGUCUGCCAGUGCAUGUUUGCAAGCGUGUCUUUGGCCAAGCAGUGGUGGUAUAUUAUUGAAAAGAUUGUGCUGGGAUAGUAAUGCCAUUUUGUACACAUAGUGUUGGAAUAGAUCUGAAUUAUAUGCUGCACAUUUUAGUAUCUUCCCUAAUUUCACAUUUGAAAUUCUGGUUCAUAUAAUAAAAUUAUAACUUUGAUACCUGAUAUUUCCUGAUAUGUUUAUCAAUAUCAGGAUAUAGAGAAAGUCUAGUAUUUUGUAGUAUAUUCCGGGCAGAUUAGGAUGUACCUAAAGAUGCUGAAAUAUUGCAUGACUCUUUUCUGUGUAACAUUUUGAGAUAAUGUUAAAUGCUAAAUGAAGAUUAAGAAAGUUGACAUUAAAGUGCUUUCCCGAAAAUAUACAAUGGCUAUGCUUAUAGAACGUUGUAAAUUUUCUGUUCCUUUAUGUGUGCCAAUAACUGAUUUCUGUAACCAUCUACAUGUCACAUAUUUAUAUUAAAUGGGACUUUAAAGAA